UGUAGCAAUACAGGUGGCGCACGGCGCACGGGUGCGUAACACGUGGGUAACCCUGCCCUUUAGUGGGGAAUAACCUCGCGAAAGCGAGGCUAAUUCCGCAUAAGAUCCGCAAGGAUGAAAGCCGAAAGGCGCUGAUGGAGGGGCCCGCGCACGAUUAGCUAGUUGGUGAGGUAAUGGCUCACCAAGGCUAUGAUCGUUAGCUGGUCUGAGAGGAUGGCCAGCCACACUGGAACUGAGACACGGUCCAGACUCCUACGGGAGGCAGCAGUGGGGAAUCUUGCACAAUGGGCGAAAGCCUGAUGCAGCGACGCCGCGUGGGGGAUGAAGCUUCUCGGAGUGUAAACCCCUUUCGACCCGGACGAAUACCUCGCAAGAGGGGUGACGGUACGGGUAUAAGAAGCCCCGGCUAACUACGUGCCAGCAGCCGCGGUAAGACGUAGGGGGCCAGCGUUGUUCGGAAUUACUGGGUGUAAAGGGUUCGUAGGCGGUGUGGCAAGUCGGGAGUGAAAUUUCUGGGCUCAACUCAGAGACUGCUUCCGAAACUGCUGUGCUGGAGUGUGGGAGAGGCGCGUGGAAUUGCAGGUGUAGCGGUGAAAUGCGUAGAUAUCUGCAGGAACACCCGUGGCGAAAGCGGCGCGCUGGACCACUACUGACGCUGAGGAACGAAAGCUAGGGGAGCAAACAGGAUUAGAUACCCUGGUAGUCCUAGCCCUAAACGAUCAGGACUUGGGGUGCCACCCGUUCGGGUGUCGUCCCGGAGCUAACGCGUUAAGUCCUGCACCUGGGGAGUACGGUCGCAAGACUG
rnacentral:rRNA from 1 species